CACCACUCCAGCCUGGCUGGGUGUUGGGCGCCGCGGUCCGCCGCGCGCCUUAAAGUCUUUCCGGCUGAGCGACCUGUCUCCAAGCGUUGUGAUUCAUCAUUCGCGGCGAGGGAGGGCGACGGCGGCCGUUAAAUCUUCUCACAA
rnacentral:misc_RNA from 1 species